rnacentral:lncRNA from 1 species
AGCAAUGUGCUGAAGCUCUUAAAAGAUUGGAUCUGAGAGAGAGAGACAGAGAGGAGAAAGAGAACUAGAGACAGAGAGAGGCAGACAGGGAAGGGGGGGGGUGAAAGACUUUCUUUUUCUUUCUAGAGGAAUUCUGCCCAGACUCUGCAGCAGUUGGUAGCAGGCAAGCUUUCUCCUGGGUGUCGCCUUGAAAAGUUGCAAAAUUGCUCUUCACCUGUAAGAACAUGCUCUUUAUCUUCCAGUCUCUUCUUGUCAAUUUGGAAAUUGCAGACAGCCCGGCUCAGCACAAUCUCGGCUCACCGAAGCCUCCACCUCCCAGAUUCAAGCGAUUCUCAUGCCUCAGCUUCCCAAGUAGCUGGGAUUACAGGCUUGUCAAAGAAAAUUUCUUAAUGAAAGCGAUGAUGAUGUCGACCUUAACCUCCAGAAUGAAGAUACUUCAGGACUUAGUCUGAAAAGGCUACCAAGUCAUGAUGGAGAAAAACAUGAAACCACUGAUUCAGUUCAUUGCAAAUUCAUUCUACCAAACCUUACCUGGCUCUUGUUGCUGCUUGGUAGUCCUUUUAUUAAUCUCUUGGAGACUCACUGAUUAGUUUCCUCCAUUGAUCAUCUAAAAGCUUUUUUCAUAUUUUUGAAACUCACUGUUUGAUCUCCUCUUCCCCUUGUACUCGGAAGGUGAUCUUGCUUUCUGCUUUACUGAGAAGUUCAAGGUUAUCUGCAAUCUCCUUCAACUUUUCACUCCUAUCCUAUUUUCUAUUUUCCUUCAUCUCUUGCUUCCUCUGCUCUUUUGUUUUAGGGAAAGAAACAGUCCCUUUAUUUCUAGGUUGAACCCAACUUCUGCAGGACUUUUGUCUGUAAAUUGUACUUCUUUUUUUUUUUUUUUUUUUUUGAGACAGAGUCUCGCUCUGUCACCCAGGCUGGAGUGCAGUGGCAUGAUCUCAGGUCACUGCAACCUCUACCUCCCAGGUUAAAGCAAUUCUCCUGCCUCAGCUUCCUGAGUAGCUGGGAUUACAGGCGACAUUCCCAGCUAAAUUUUUGUAUUUUUAGUAGAGACGGGGUUUGGCUAUGUUGGCCAGGCUGGUCUCAAAUUCCUGACUUCAGGUGAUGCACCCACCUCCGCCCGCCUCGGCCUCCCAAAGUGCUGGCAUUACAGAUGUGAGCCACCGUGCCCAGCUAAAUUGUACCUUCUGUUCCUUAAAAAUCCUAAAAUCCCUUGUUGUAGGUUCUUUAAUUUUGAGAAAGUAAUAAAUAAAGCACAGAGAUUAAUAAGACAAAUAUGCUUGUUUGCAAAACCCAGAAUUGACUGUUAAUAUUAUCAUACACUGGCUUAUCCUUUUUCUAAUAAAAAAGUUUCAGAUAAAGUUGAAGUUCCCCUUGACCUACCUUUUCAGUCCUGUUGCCUGCAUUCCCUCCCUCAAAGCAACCCUAUAUAAUAUCUGCAUGUAUUCUUUGAGGUCAUUAAAGAAUACAUUUAUGUGCCCAUAUACAUAAUAAUGUGUGUGAUUGUUUAGUGGGUAAUUUAAGAAUUUACGUAUUUAAUAUUCACAGUCUAUUUUGUGAUGUUUCUGUCUUCUAUCCAUGCUAGUAUAUGUAGAGCUAUUUGUAAGUUCCCUGAGGGCAGGGACUUUGUCUUGCUCAUUGCUGAAUCUCCAGCACCUAGAAUAGCAUUUGGCAUAUAGUAAACAUUCAAUCUUCCUUCAUUCCUUCCUUCCUUCCUUCCUUCUUUCCUUCCUUCCUUUCUUUCUCUCUCUCUUUCUUUCUUUCUUUCUUUCUCUUUCUUUUCUUUCUUUCUCUCUCUUUCUCUCUCCCUCCCUCCCUCUCUCCUUUCCUUUCUCUUUCUUUCUUUCUUUCUUUCUUUCUUUCUUUCUUUCUUUCUUUCUUUCUUUCUUUCUUUCUUUCUUUAUUCUUCCUUUUUUUUUGGUGACAGGAUCUCACUCUGUCUCCCAGGCUGGAGUGCAUUGGCACCAUCACUGCUCACUGCAACCUCCUCCUUCCAGGCUCAAGCAAUCCUCCCAUUUCAGCCUCCCAAGUGGCUGGGACUACAGGAGUGCACCACCUUGCCUGGAUAAUUUUUUGUAUUUUUUUUUGGAGAGACAGGGUUUCAGCAUGUUGCCCAGACUGGUCUCAAACUCCUUUGCUCAAGUGUUCCUCCUGCCUUGGCCUCCCAAAGUGCUGGGACUAUAGAUGUGAGCCACUAUGCCAGCCAAUAUAUGUAUAUAUUUCUUAAGUGAGUUAAUAUCAUUCAUUUUUAACUGCUGUGUAGUAAUCAACUGUAUGAAUAUUCCACAUAUCACAUUUUAUUUAUUCAUUCUCCUACCAGUAGACAAUGUGUGCUUUCCUAAUUUCCAUGCUUCUUAUUACAAAUAUUGUUGUGGAACAGCCUUGUACAAGUCUCCUGUGCCUACGUUUGAGUUGUAUCAGAGUUGGAAUUGCUGCUUGUCACAAAUAAACUUUAAACUAGAUUUAGCCAAA